CCCCUCUCAGGGUCACACCUGGAGGGUUUCCAAUACUCUUCCAGUCUCGACCAUGGGAGGGAGAGUCAAGCAGAGGCAUUUCCAUUCCUAGCUUGGGCAGUGGCUAGUGAGUGGAAGGCAAUCUGCUACAAGU